rnacentral:rRNA from 1 species
GAACGCGUUUGUGGUAGUUGCGUGGGUGCCAAAGUCAAUCGAGAGCCGGAAUAGAUGCGUGCGAUGCUACCCUUUUCCCAGGCCACUACCUUUACGGCGGAGCCCAACCCCUGCCAAGUUUGCACGUCACCCGUACCUUUGCAAGCUUCCCCUUCUCCUAGCUGCGGCGUCCAUGUUGCUCUCCCUCCACUUACCGCAGUUCUAUGGUGCGUAGUUUAUGUCACUGGGGCCACAGAAGUGAGUCCAACCGCUAAAACGCGCACGCCACGGCUACUACGAUGUCCGCCGACGCCGCUUUUGCUAUCUCAACCGAUUCCGCUUUUACCUUCUUCACCGAUUUUUAUCUGCCUCAAUUCAAUAUGGAUGGAUGAACCCGAAAUUUUUUUUCACUAUGGAUGAUCCGGCACACCCGGUUUACAAAGGGCCAAAGGGUCAACAACGUACCUCACGCAGGUCAGGCACCUGAUUCUUUUUUUCCUCUUUUUGCAAUGAUUUUUUUCUCUUUUUGUUCUUGCAUCCCUUUAAAAGAUGGCGACGUUCGAAAAUUAAGCAGGCAUCUGAUUAGGUCGAUGCCACAUUGGAAAAUAUGGUUUCUUUACCCUUCC